UACGGAGGAUGCGAGCGUUAUCCGGAUUUAUUGGGUUUAAAGGGUGCGCAGGCGGCACGGCAAACCGGCGGUCAAAUCGCGGGGCUCAACCCCGCCCAGCCGUCGGAACUGCCGGGCUAGAGUGGGCGAGAAGUGCGCGGAAUGCGUGGUGUAGCGGUGAAAUGCAUAGAUAUCACGCAGAACUCCGAUUGCGAAGGCAGCGCACCGGCGCCCUACUGACGCUCAGGCACGAAAGCGUGGGUAUCGAACAGG
rnacentral:rRNA from 1 species